rnacentral:misc_RNA from 1 species
AACGCAAAUUGCACUCUUUUCGGAGAGUAUGCCUGUUUGAGGGUCAAUAUAAUAAAAAUCGGUAUGUUGCUUUUUUUGUGACGUUCCGGAAUUUGAGUUAUCUUAAUUUUUUUGUUUAAGAGGCUUAAAAUUGACCUUUUUUGCGCAUUUUUUAGACGUACAUAAAUUUUUUUUUUAUUCGUUUAUUCUAAUGCCAAAAUCUAUUAGAUGCGACCAUAUCAUGUGGUUUCGUGUCCAUAAAUUUUCAUGAUUUGACCUCAAAUCAGGUAGGAACACCCGCUGAACUUAA